rnacentral:rRNA from 1 species
UGCAAGUCGAGGGAGAAAAUCCCCUUCGGGGGAUGAGUAAACCGGCGCACGGGUGAGUAACACGUAGGCAACCUACCCUUUGAACGGGGAUAACCCGCCGAAAGGCGGGCUAAUACCCGAUAAUGCAGCGGCACCGCAUGGUGAUGUUGUUAAAACCGGUUUCGACUUUGUCGAGAUACGGGUCAAGGGAUGGGCCUGCGCCCCAUUAGCUUGUUGGUGAGGUAACGGCUCACCAAGGCAACGAUGGGUAGCUGGUCUGAGAGGACGACCAGCCACACUGGGACUGAGACACGGCCCAGACUCCUACGGGAGGCAGCAGUGAGGAAUAUUGGGCAAUGCCCGAAAGGGUGACCCAGCGACGCCGCGUGGAGGAUGACGUCCGUAAGGAUGUAAACUCCUGUGGAGAGGGAAGAACAUCACGCCAUUGGCGUGACUGACGGUACCUCUCUAGAAAGGCCCGGCUAACUACGUGCCAGCAGCCGCGGUAAAACGUAGGGGCCAAGCGUUGUCCGGAUUUACUGGGUGUAAAGGGUCCGCAGGCGGGUUUGUAAGUCAAUGGUGAAAUUUUUCGGCUCAACCGGGAAACCGCUGUUGAAACUACAGACCUUGAGUCCGGGAGAGGGUGGUGGAAUUCCUGGUGUAGCGGUGAAAUGCGUAGAUAUCAGGAGGAACACCGGUGGCGAAGGCGGCCACCUGGCCCGAGACUGACGCUCAGGGACGAAAGCGUGGGUAGCAAACAGGAUUAGAUACCCUGGUAGUCCACGCUGUAAACGAUGGGUACUAGGUGUUGGUCCGGUAGUACCGGAUCGGUGCCGAAGCUAACGCAUUAAGUACCUCACCUGGGGAGUACGAUCGCAAGGUUGAAACUCAAAGGAAUUGACGGGGGCCCGCACAAGCAGUGG